rnacentral:rRNA from 1 species
GUGGGGAAUUUUGGACAAUGGGCGCAAGCCUGAUCCAGCAAUGCCGCGUGCAGGAAGAAGGCCUUCGGGUUGUAAACUGCUUUUGUACGGAACGAAACGGUCCGGGUUAAUACCCUGGGCUAAUGACGGUACCGUAAGAAUAAGCACCGGCUAACUACGUGCCAGCAGCCGCGGUAAUACGUAGGGUGCAAGCGUUAAUCGGAAUUACUGGGCGUAAAGCGUGCGCAGGCGGUUUUGUAAGACAGGCGUGAAAUCCCCGGGCGCAACCUGGGAAUUGCGCUUGUGACUGCAAGGCUGGAGUGCGGCAGAGGGGGAUGGAAUUCCGCGUGUAGCAGUGAAAUGCGUAGAUAUGCGGAGGAACACCGAUGGCGAAGGCAAUCCCCUGGGCCUGCACUGACGCUCAUGCACGAAAGCGUGGGGAGCAAACAGGAUUAGAUACCCCAGUAGUCC